rnacentral:rRNA from 1 species
GACGAACGCUGGCGGCGUGCUUAACACAUGCAAGUCGAACGAAGAGCGAUGGAAGCUUGCUUCUAUCAAUCUUAGUGGCGAACGGGUGAGUAACGCGUAAUCAACCUGCCCUUCAGAGGGGGACAACAGUUGGAAACGACUGCUAAUACCGCAUACGAUCUAAUCUCGGCAUCGAGGAUAGAUGAAAGGUGGCCUCUACAUGUAAGCUAUCACUCAAGUAGGGGAGUGCGUCUGAUUAGCUAGUUGGAGGGGUAACGGCCCACCAAGGCGAUGAUCAGUAGCCGGUCUGAGAGGAUGAACGGCCACAUUGGGACUGAGACACGGCCCAGACUCCUACGGGAGGCAGCAGUGGGGAAUCUUCCGCAAUGGACGAAAGGCUGACGGAGCAACGCCGCGUGAGUGAUGACGGCCUUCGGGUUGUAAAGCUCUGUUAAUCGGGACGAAAGGCCUUCUUGCGAACAGUUAGAAGGAUUGACGGUACCGGAAGAGAAAGCCACGGCUAACUACGUG